UCUUUGUCAGUGCACAAAAUGGCGCCUUACAGCCUACUGGUCACCCGGCUGCAGAAGGCCCUGGGUGUGCGGCAGUACCAUGUGGCCUCUGCCCUGUGCCAACGGGCCAAGGUGGCCAUGAGCCACUUUGAGCCCAGUGAGUACAUCCGAUAUGACCUGCUCUAAGAUGGUGACCAGACCUGCUUCUUGCCCUCCCUAUCCUCAGCCCACUGAGUGAACCAACAUGGAGGGCACUUAAGAUGAUGGAGGGCACUUAAGAUGAUGUCCCAGCCCCGCCUUCCUGUUCAGUUUGGUUUGUCUUUGAGCAACCCAUGCAACUGUAUUUAUUUUUGAUGACAGCACUCCCUCUACAGAAGUUUUUAUUCUGCCUAAUCAUUUCACUGGUGGCUGAAGGAUUUUAGAGAAACUUGUUCUUAU
rnacentral:lncRNA from 1 species